AAAGGGGAUGUAGCUCAUCUGGUAGAGCGUUAAACAAUAAAUGAUGAUAAAGGCAGGGGUUCAACUCCUCGCAUCUCCACUAUUCUUUUUAAAAUCCAAUUUAAGAAAAAAAUAAGAAUGGCUACGAAUUUUUAAAAUCUCUACUACUCCUUAUGUUUGUAUCGUAGGCGUCCACAUCGAGAGGAUGGCGCACGGUUCUGCCGUCGCGCUCCCUCCACGCUCGAUCCUCAAAUCCCGCGGCUUUCUUCGAUGACAAUUUUUCCUUGGUUGGCCACCGUGAUCUCCUCCUCGAUCCAAAAUCUCUUCGCCCUGGCUCCCAUCGUGCAUGCGUCCAGGCUGUGCUACGAGUCGGGGGAGGCGGUCGCGGUCAACCUCGCCUUCGCACUCUCCCAUGUGCCCGACGAGAGCGUCUCUCCGGCCAACCCCCGCGACGGCGCGGGUGCAUCCGCGGCGGCCAUGGCGCGCGGGCGUGCCCGCACGUGGCUGGCGCGGCGUCCCCGGCCCCGACCACGGAGCGGGUGCGGGAGAUCCGGUCAUGGUGGCACCGGCCCCGAGCCCUAGCCCUGGAGGCGACGCAACAUUAAGCCCCGGCCAAACCGGUGGGCGCGGUCCCGACGACGGGCUCGAUCCCUGCGCAGGCGUGCCGGCCUUGCAUGGCCCCGGCGAGGGCGGCCCCUGCGCGGACGCGGCCCCCGGCCUCAGCCCCGGUGGCGGCGCGCUGCCCCACCGGCCCCCUCGCAGAUCCCAUCAACCGCUUUGAAGCUCCGCUCUGUGACCCGCGCUGUCAUCAACGUCGUCCUCCCCCCAGAUCUCGUGCAGACCGUCUCGCCUGCCAAUCCGGCGUCCACCGCCGAGGAGUACACGCACAUGGUCGCGCUCUCCAGACGGUUCGUCGCGCUCUCCAGACCGGUCGUCCCGCUCGCCGUCGGGACCACGCCCACCGCCGGGACAGCGUGCAGAUCGCUCUCUCCUGCCGCACCCAGCGCCCUGGACUCUGGAGGCUAUGGAGCCACAGGCAGACCAGACUACGGACCGUACGUACUACGCCGCCGUCUGUAUCCCUUGAAUGCAUCCACCUGUCGGUCCAUCCUGGCCGGGUACAGUGCAUCGGUUGCUGUCAGCCGCUAGAUGCGUGGCUGGUGAAUGGCGAUCUGAUUCCGACGCUGCUGCAGCAGCUUCAUUCCCUAGCGAACUCUGCAGGUAAAACCAUCGAGAAGAGGAAGCUGGUCAUUGAUGUCAAGUAUUUCUUCUUCUAUGUGCACUCGGAACCCCGCGACAUCUACGGAGAGACUUCAUGCCUAGCAACCGGAGACUUCAUGCUGUCCCUCGACUUUGCCACGAAUACCUUUUAUCAGAAAAAUGGGGGGAACAAUAAAGGAUGUUGGAAAAUGAAAUAUAUUAUUAUAGCUAAUAAAUUGGCUUUCCCGGAGGCACUAGGAUUUGGACCCAGCCAAGUGGCCAAGUGUAUGGAAGAAUCAUGUCGUGGCACAGACGACCAGUUGCUUGACUCUCCCUCUUCUGUCUUAUUACAUUUGUACGCAAGAUAUAGAUAGUACUACUAUACAGUGGAGUCUUCUUGCAGUUUGUCUAUUUUACACAACUGACAGUCUUCAGGUAUCUCAUUGUCUGUUCUCAGUUAGUUAUAUUAAUGAUGUUUACUAUUAAUUUUGACCAUCACAACUUUGACUUGUCCAGCUCUGCCUCUAUUAGUCGGUUCAGCUCUGCCUCUAUAAUUUUUUUGGUCCACUGUACAAUGGGCUCCUUUAUUACCUCCUUGAGAAUCCUUUUCAGUUUGGUCCACUGUCUCAUCAUCCAUCGAAUCACGGCCCAGGCACACAAUCUAAAAGGCAAAAUAAUUAUAGAGGCAGAGCUGGACAUAGUCUUCAGUUGAAUUUAAGGUUCCUCUUCCCUUGUUUGGAAGAGGUUAUGAUCAUUGUACGCUCUCGGCUCAAUGUUGAACACUCUUGAAAUACACUGUGAAGUUGCAGAGGAUGGUCAUCAGAAUCUCAAAGAUGAAGAAUUGCCAUAAAGGUGCUGAUGAGUUCUUUGAUGAUAUAUGUAAUUUCAAUUACAUGAACUACAAGAAAGUGCAAAUUGAAUAAGUGGAGAUGAUAUAGUAUUACAUAUUUAUAUCACCAAAAUAAUAUUAAUAUUAUGAUUAUAUUUUAUCA